rnacentral:rRNA from 1 species
ACAGGGAUUGCCCCAGUAACGGCGAGUGAAGCGGCAACAGCUCAAAUUUGAAAUCUGGCCCCUCCGGGUCCGAGUUGUAAUUUGUAGAGGAUGCUUUUGGUGAGGUGCCGCCCGAGUUCCCUGGAACGGGACGCCACAGAGGGUGAGAGCCCCGUCUGGCUGGCCGCCGAGCCUCUGUAAAGCUCCUUCGACGAGUCGAGUAGUUUGGGAAUGCUGCUCAAAAUGGGAGGUAUAUGUCUUCUAAAGCUAAAUACUGGCCAGAGACCGAUAGCGCACAAGUAGAGUGAUCGAAAGAUGAAAAGCACCUUGAAAAGAGGGUUAAAUAGUACGUGAAAUUGUUGAAAGGGAAGCGCUUGUGACCAGACUUGGGCGCGGCGGAUCAUCCGGGGUUCUCCCCGGUGCACUUCGCCGCGUCCGGGCCAGCAUCAGUUCGUCGCGGGGGACAAAGGCUUCGGGAACGUGGCUCCUCCGGGAGUGUUAUAGCCCGUUGCAUAAUACCCUGCGGUGGACUGAGGACCGCGCAUCUGCAAGGAUGCUGGCGUAAUGGUCACCAGCGACCCGUCUUGAAACACGGACCAAGGAGUCGUCUUCGUAUGCGAGUGUUCGGGUGUCAAACCCCUACGCGUAAUGAAAGUGAACGCAGGUGAGAGCUUCGGCGCAUCAUCGACCGAUCCUGAUGUUCUCGGAUGGAUUUGAGUAAGAGCAUACGGGGCCGGACCCGAAAGAAGGUGAACUAUGCCUGUAUAGGGUGAAGCCAGAGGAAACUCUGGUGGAGGCUCGCAGCGGUUCUGACGUGCAAAUCGAUCGUCAAAUAUGGGCAUGGGGGCGAAAGACUAAUCGAAC